UGCCAGACUCCUACGGGAGGCAGCAGUGGGGAAUAUUGGGCAAUGGGCGCAAGCCUGACCCAGCAACGCCGCGUGAAGGAAGAAGGCCCUCGGGUUGUAAACUUCUUUUGUCAGGGACGAAGAAAGUGACGGUACCUGACGAAUAAGCCACGGCUAACUACGUGCCAGCAGCCGCGGUAAUACGUAGGUGGCAAGCGUUAUCCGGAUUUACUGAGUGUAAAGGGCGUGUAGGCGGGACUGCAAGUCAGAUGUGAAAUUCCAGGGCUCAACCCUGGAACUGCAUUUGAAACUGUAGUUCUUGAGUGAUGGAGAGGCAGGCGGAAUUCCGUGUGUAGCGGUGAAAUGCGUAGAUAUAAGGAGGAACACCAGUGGCGAAGGCGGUCUGCUGGACAGCAACUGACGGUGAGGCGCGAAAGCGUGGGGAGCAAACAGGAUUAGAUACCCUUGUAC
rnacentral:rRNA from 1 species